rnacentral:rRNA from 1 species
GAUGAACGCUGGCGGCGUGCCUAAUACAUGCAAGUCGAGCGAACGGACGAGAAGCUUGCUUCUCUGAUGUUAGCGGCGGACGGGUGAGUAACACGUGGAUAACCUACCUAUAAGACUGGGAUAACUUCGGGAAACCGUAGCUAAUACCGGAUAAUAUUUUGAACCGCAUGGUUCAAAAGUGAAAGACGGUCUUGCUGUCACUUAUAGAUGGAUCCGCGCUGCAUUAGCUAGUUGGUAAGGUAACGGCUUACCAAGGCAACGAUGCAUAGCCGACCUGAGAGGGUGAUCGGCCACACUGGAACUGAGACACGGUCCAGACUCCUACGGGAGGCAGCAGUAGGGAAUCUUCCGCAAUGGGCGAAAGCCUGACGGAGCAACGCCGCGUGAGUGAUGAAGGUCUUCGGAUCGUAAAACUCUGUUAUUAGGGAAGAACAUAUGUGUAAGUAACUGUGCACAUCUUGACGGUACCUAAUCAGAAAGCCACGGCUAACUACGUGCCAGCAGCCGCGGUAAUACGUAGGUGGCAAGCGUUAUCCGGAAUUAUUGGGCGUAAAGCGCGCGUAGGCGGUUUUUUAAGUCUGAUGUGAAAGCCCACGGCUCAACCGUGGAGGGUCAUUGGAAACUGGAAAACUUGAGUGCAGAAGAGGAAAGUGGAAUUCCAUGUGUAGCGGUGAAAUGCGCAGAGAUAUGGAGGAACACCAGUGGCGAAGGCGACUUUCUGGUCUGUAACUGACGCUGAUGUGCGAAAACGUGGGGAUCAAACAGGAUUAGAUACCCUGGUAGUCCACGCCGUAAACGAUGAGUGCUAAGUGUUAGGGGGUUUCCGCCCCUUAGUGCUGCAGCUAACGCAUUAAGCACUCCGCCUGGGGAGUACGACCGCAAGGUUGAAACUCAAAGGAAUUGACGGGGACCCGCACAAGCGGUGGAGCAUGUGGUUUAAUUCGAAGCAACGCGAAGAACCUUACCAAAUCUUGACAUCCUUUGACAACUCCAGAGAUAGAGCCUUCCCCUUCGGGGGACAAAGUGACAGGUGGUGCAUGGUUGUCGUCAGCUCGUGUCGUGAGAUGUUGGGUUAAGUCCCGCAACGAGCGCAACCCUUAAGCUUAGUUGCCAUCAUUAAGUUGGGCACUCUAAGUUGACUGCCGGUGACAAACCGGAGGAAGGUGGGGAUGACGUCAAAUCAUCAUGCCCCUUAUGAUUUGGGCUACACACGUGCUACAAUGGACAAUACAAAGGGCAGCGAAACCGCGAGGUCAAGCAAAUCCCAUAAAGUUGUUCUCAGUUCGGAUUGUAGUCUGCAACUCGACUACAUGAAGCUGGAAUCGCUAGUAAUCGUAGAUCAGCAUGCUACGGUGAAUACGUUCCCGGGUCU